rnacentral:rRNA from 1 species
UGGGGAAUUUUGGACAAUGGGCGCAAGCCUGAUCCAGCCAUACCGCGUGAGUGAAGAAGGCCUUCGGGUUGUAAAGCUCUUUCAGACGGAAAGAAACGGUUACGGCUAAUACCCGUGACUAAUGACGGUACCGUAAGAAGAAGCACCGGCUAACUACGUGCCAGCAGCCGCGGUAAUACGUAGGGUGCGAGCGUUAAUCGGAAUUACUGGGCGUAAAGCGUGCGCAGGCGGUUUGGUAAGACAGAUGUGAAAUCCCCGGGCUUAACCUGGGAACUGCAUUUGUGACUGCCAGACUAGAGUGUAGCAGAGGGGGGUAGAAUUCCACGUGUAGCGGUGAAAUGCGUAGAUAUCAAGAGGAACACCUGAGGUGAAGACGGGUUGCUGGGCUGACACUGACGCUGAGGCGCGAAAGCCAGGGGAGCAAACGGGAUUAGAUACCCAUGUAGUCCCUGAGCGGGCUGGCAAGGCGCAU